rnacentral:lncRNA from 1 species
UGGGUCUGAAAUAUUUAUUCCAAUUCUUUUCUCCACCAGCUCCAUAAAUAUUUAUUCUAUGCCCACUGCUUGUUAGUUUCUGGGAUACCAGGCCGAUGAGGCAGUCUCUUCCUCUCCUCCUUUGAGCAAGCUUGUGCUUGCAAUCCUGUAUAAGAAAUAAGAGGAGGGCAACAACUUGUAUCUUGUGCCUUCUACACAUGCCAACCAUAGCCUGAAGUUCACAGCAAAGUUAAAUUCCAGUUAAGUAAACCAGUGAGGUCAUAAUACACUUAAAUAACAACUGAGACGUGAGAAACUAACAGAGAUCCUCAGUAAGUGUGUCGGUCACCUCUUCGCGCGAGCAGGGAGAUCAGAUCGAGAGCAGGACCUCCUCGCCAGUGAUUUGGAAUGAUAAAUGGGGAAGAGAAGGGGGUGAAGUUACCUGGGCGCUCAGGCAUGACUAAGAGAUAUCGUGAAAUUACAACUCAACAAUGAAUUACAGCACAGGCUUUUCACAACUAAGAGACUGUCCAUCAUGGUGCCAGUUUUUCUCAAAAUGGCAUGUGUGCAUGAAAUUCUACAGGCAUAUGGGGUCGUGAUCUGCUAAUCUCCAGUUAUUAUACAAAACUACAGAUACUUGAAAACAGA